UACGUAGGGUGCGAGCGUUAAUCGGAAUUACUGGGCGUAAAGCGUGCGCAGGCGGUUUUGUAAGCCCGAUGUGAAAUCCCCGGGCUCAACCUGGGAAUGGCAUUUGGGACUGCAAGGCUCGAGUGCGGCAGAGGAGACUGGAAUUCCUGGUGUAGCAGUGAAAUGCGUAGAUCUCAGGAGGAAUACCGAUGGCGAAGGCAGGGCUCUGGGCUGACACUGACGCUCAUGCACGAAAGCGUGGGGAGCAAACAGG
rnacentral:rRNA from 1 species